UGUAUAUUCUCUUUUUUUGUGAAAACAUUUACCAUAGUAAUGUAUAUUUUUUUAACACCAUCAGAAAGUAGAGAUUUCAACGAACAAAAAAAGUCACCGACUUU